rnacentral:rRNA from 1 species
GGAGGCAGCAGUGGGGAAUAUUGCACAAUGGGCGCAAGCCUGAUGCAGCCAUGCCGCGUGUAUGAAGAAGGCCUUCGGGUUGUAAAGUACUUUCAGCGAGGAGGAAGGCAUUAAGGUUAAUAACCUUAGUGAUUGACGUUACUCGCAGAAGAAGCACCGGCUAACUCCGUGCCAGCAGCCGCGGUAAUACGGAGGGUGCAAGCGUUAAUCGGAAUUACUGGGCGUAAAGCGCACGCAGGCGGUCUGUCAAGUCGG